rnacentral:rRNA from 1 species
UACGUAGGGGCCGAGCGUUGUCCGGAGUUAUUGGGCGUAAAGCGCGCGCAGGCGGCCUCGCGCGCCCGACGUGAAAGCCCCCGGCUUAACCGGGGAGGGUCGUUGGGGACGGCGGGGCUUGAGGGCGGGAGAGGUCGGUGGAAUUCCCGGUGUAGUGGUGAAAUGCGUAGAGAUCGUAAGGAAGGCCAGUGGCGAAGGCGAGUUCCUGGACAGUGACUGACGCUGAGGCACGAAGGCCAGGGGAGCAAACGGG